rnacentral:misc_RNA from 1 species
UAAAACCAUACUCACUCACUCACUCUAUUUGGUGUAAAUAUGUACUUUGAAAGACUAUUUCACAUGUUUUAAAAAGUGUUUUUUCAACAGUAUCAAGUGAAUAUUGCAUUGUAGCACAUGUCAAAAGAUGGAGUUAGAUAUGUCACCAUCAUGUAUUAAUAUUCAUACAGGUUAAUAUCGUUUGCAGCGAGUAGUGGAUCAGAAGCCGUUCUCUAUGUAUUGAACCCUGAUCACCACAGUAAAACGCAUGCACACUCGCGCGCACACAGGAAUAUAUUUACACACACAUACUCACCUUACAGAUAGUUCGUGUGUGGCAACACUAUCGUUUCCUAGAUUUCAGUGAAACUAUCUAUAAUAACUGCAUCAUCACUGCGGGGGCUGUUUUAACUACAUCUCAACCCCACCGCACCAACUAUCAAUUAUCACAAUACAGAUAUCACAUAUCAAUAAAUGUAGCCUCAUUUGUAACCAUUAAGUCGGCGUUUGUCAAAAAAGAUAUCAUUAUGUCCUUGUUUUGGUCAUUUAGCUGGAACACUACUGCAUGCAUCGUUAAGCAGCAUACAACAAAAGAAACAAACAAAAAAUCGCUUUCGUUUUUUAGUUCUUUCAGACGAAAAGAGGCUGAAUGCUAGAACGCGUGAUUUAGACGUGUGUAGGGGCUGGGUUAGAACUAUUGUUUUUUUUUAAUUUCUUCCCCACACAACCUCACGAUGCAUGAAUCAUUCCUCUCUGGAAACUGUAGACGCAUAGUGUGACAUGUCUAUUCUCAGCUAAUGGUGUGUGUCGUGAUCCUGCGUGGUAUGUUGGUGUAGUGUAACAUAUUAGUGUCAACUGUAUUCAGGUAUGUCAACCUGAAAUUAAACACCACAUCCAGGCCAAAAUCCUUCACUCGCCGUAUCUGUUAAAUGGAGUACAUAUUGUGUUGUGCAUGGGUUGGCCGGGGGACGGUAACAUUUCCAGACAGUAACACCGCCACGAAGAGGGGUAUCAGCAGAAAUUGAAUCUCGGUAUUGUUAGAGGCAGAAGGUUUCAAAGACUCGGUUUUAAAGAGAGGCUGAAUGCUGGAACGGAGGAGUGAGACUUGUGUACGUGCUGGGUUAGUACUAUGAUAAACGCCAGAGGGUGGUCACAGAAAACAUCGUAAGCACUUGUAGCAGCCUGUUGAGAUCCGUGGAACAAUUAACAAAACCCGUGGAGACCCUCUGUUAACAGGAACCAAACUGUGGAGACUCUGUUAACAGGAACCAAACUGUGGAGACUCUGUUAACAGGAAUUAAACUGUGGAGACUCUGUUAACAGGAACCAAACUGUGAAGACUCUGUUAACGGGAACCAAACCGUGAAGACUCUAUUAACAGGAAUCAAACUGUGGAGACUCUGUUAACAGGAACCAAACUGUGGAGACUCUGUUAACAGGAACCAAACUGUGAAGACUCUGUUAACAGGAACCAAACUGUGGAGACUCUGUUAACAGGAACCAAACUGUGGAGACUCUAUUAACAGGAAUCAAACUGUGGAGACUCUGUUAACAGGAACCAAACUGUGGAGACUCUGUUAACAGGAACCAAACUGUGGAGACUCUGUUAACAGGAAUCAAACUGUGGAGACUCUGUUAACAGGAACCAAACUGUGAAGACUCUGUUAACAGGAACCAAACCGUGAAGACUCUAUUAACAGGAAUCACACUGUGGAGACUGUUAACAGGAAACAAACUGUGAUGACUCUGUUAACAGGAACCAAACUGUGAAGACUCUCUUAACGGGAAUUAAACUGUGAAGACUCUGUUAACAGGAACCAAACUGUGAAGACUCUCUUAACGGGAACCAAACUGUGAAGACUCUGUUAACAGGAACCAAACUGUGAAGACUCUGUUAACAGGAACCAAGCUGUGAAGACUCUGUUAACAGGAACCAAACUGUGAAGACUCUGUUAACGGGAACCAAACUGUGAAGACUCUGUUAACAGGAACCAAACUGUGAAGACUCUGUUAACGGGAACCAAAAUGUGGAGACUCUGUUAACGGGAAUUAAACUGUGAAGACUCUGUCAACAGGAAUUAAACUGUGAAGACUCUGUUAACGGGAAUUAAACUGUGAAGACUCUGUCAACGGGAACCAAACUGUGAAGACUCUGUUAACAGGAAUCAAACUGUGGAGACUCUGUCAACAGGAAUUAAACUGUGAAGACUCUGUUAACAGGAAUUAAACUGUGAAGACUCUGUUAAGGGGAACGAAACUGUGAAGACUCUGUUAACAGGAACCAAACUGUGGAGACUCUGUCAACAGGAAUUAAACUGUGAAGACUCUCUUAACAGGAACCAAACUGUGAAGACUCUGUUAACAGGAACCAAACUGUGAAGACUCUGUUAACGGGAACCAAACUGUAAAGACUCUGUUAACAGGAACCAAACUGUGGAGACUCUGUCAACAGGAAUUUGAACUGUGAAGACUCUGUCAACAGGAAUUAAACUGUGAAGACUCUCUUAACGGGAAUCAAACUGUGAAGACUUUCUUAACGGGAACCAAACUGUGAAGACUCUGUUAACAGGAACCAAACUGUGGAGACUCUGUCAACAGGAACCAAACUGUGAAGACUCUGUUUACAGGAACCAAACUGUGAAGACUCUGUAAACAGGAACCAAACUGUGAAGACUCUGUUAACGGGAACCAAAAUGUGGAGACUCUGUUAACGGGAAUUAAACUGUGAAGACUCUGUUAACAGGAAUUAAACUGUGAAGACUCUGUUAACGGGAACCAAACUGUGAAGACUCUGUUAACAGGAACCAAACUGUGGAGACUCUGUCAACAGGAAUUAAACUGUGAAGACUCUCUUAACAGGAACCAAACUGUGAAGACUCUGUUAACAGGAACCAAACUGUGAAGACUCUGUUAACGGGAACCAAACUGUAAAGACUCUGUUAACAGGAACCAAACUGUGGAGACUCUGUCAACAGGAAUUUGAACUGUGAAGACUCUGUCAACAGGAUUUAAACUGUGAAGACUCUCUUAACGGGAAUCAAACUGUGAAGACUUUCUUAACGGGAACCAAACUGUGAAGACUCUGUUAACAGAAACCAAACUGUGGAGACUCUGUCAACAGGAAUUAAACUGUGAAGACUCUGUUUACAGGAACCAAACUGUGAAGACUCUGUAAACAGGAACCAAACUGUAAAGACUCUGUUAACGGGAACCAAACUGUAAAGACUCUGUUAACAGGAACCAAACUGUGGAGACUCUGUCAACAGGAAUUUGAACUGUGAAGACUCUGUCAACAGGAAUUAAACUGUGAAGAUUCUGUGAAGACUUUCUUUUCAGAAACAACAACCUGUUCAGAAGCUGCUGACAGGACGCAAAGUGUGGAUACACUCUGUCCACAUUAAGCCGUUAAUAGAUCUUUAUUAUUCACAGGAAACAAACAAUUACUCUUCAGAAGACGCACUUUCACUGGAACAAAGUUUACACUUAACUUUCCUGUAUGAUCUCCCAAAUAUGAGGAUGAAUGUUUCAAACUGUUCGAACGAAGAGAAUGAAGCCAUAUUGCCUAACCAGGAAACAGCUAAUCUCUUGUGGAAGAUCAUUUCGCCAAUUCUCCUUCUACUUGGCACUGUAGGCAACCUCCUUUCCAUUGUUGUGUUGACCCGUAAGGCAAUGCGGAAGUCCAAUAUGUCCAAAUACCUAACCUGCCUGGCAGUGGCUGAUCUAGCGGUUCUGUAUGUCGGACUUCUACCACAAUGGAUAAGUGUUACGUUCGAUGUAAAUAUAAGGGACGUUCAUCCAGUUGUUUGUAAGAUACACCCGUGGUUACUGUACUCAAGCCUUCACACAUCGGCUUGGAUUCAAGUCUCUGUGACCAUUGAACGCACAGUCUUUGUUUGGAGACCUCUGCGAUACAGGAUCUUGUGCACCAAGCGUGUAGCCACCAUCAGUGUUGGUAUUGUUAUAAGCAUAUGCCUGAUAUUAAAUAGUCACUUUCUGAUCUUCUUGGAACAUACUGAAACAGAUCCAGGAGUUUAUGAGUGUGAUUCCGUAACGACAGCUGAGUAUGAUGACUUUCUCAGCAAAGUGUUUCACUGGAUAGAUCUGUGUGUGUGGUGUAUUGUACCUGUCGUUGUCCAUCUUGUGUGCAAUAUUCUCAUUAUUUACCGGCUACGUACGCAUGCUCGUACCAUGGCUAGACAUAAUUCCACGCCUGGGGCAGAUGGAUCAAGGCAAAGUCUCGUAACGUCCAUGACAACUAUGCUGUUGAGUUUGAACCUGGUGUACCUCCUCUGCACCUUGCCCGUGUCCGUCUUCUUCGUUGGCGAGCGCUAUUGGAACAUCAGUUCCCCAGGGGCUGAGGCAGAAGCACGACGAGAGCUUAUAAAGGCGUGUGUGAGCCUUCUGAUGUAUCUCAACAACUCCACCAACUUCAUCAUCUGCUUGGUCAAAGGUAAACGAUUCCGGGAGGAGGCGCGUAUUAUCUUCAGCUGUCAAAGACCACGACGUCUCCCACGUCAAAGAGGCUCGACUUGGAUCUCUUCUAUAUCAAGGUCAUUGCGGCAGAGGUCACUUAUAGAUUCAUCAAGCAGUUCAUCAAGCGACAUCAUUGGACUGAGGUACAGACGUAGUUCUGCACAUGCUGCACAAAUAAACAACAUAAGCUCCAGUGUCAACAUGUAACGAUGUGAAGAAAUAAACAACAUAAGCUCCAGUGUCAACAUGUGACAACAUAAGUUACAGUGUUAGCAUGUGACGAGGUGGAGCUAUAAACAACAUAAGCUCCAGUGUCAACAUGUGACAACAAAAGCUCCAGUGUCAACAUGUGACAACAUAAGCUCCAGUGUCAACAUGUAACGAGGUGAAGAAAUAAACAACAUAAGGUCCAGUGUCAACAUGUGACAACAUAAGCUCCAGUGUCAACAUGUAACGAGGUGAAGAAAUAAACAACAUAAGGUCCAGUGUCAACAUGUGACAACAUAAGCUCCAGUGUCAACAUGUGACAACAUAAGCUCCAGUGUCAACAUGUAACGAGGUGAAGAAAUAAACAACAUAAGCUCCAGUGUCAACAUGUGACAACAUAAGUUACAGUGUCAGCAUGUGACGAGGUGGAGAAAUAAACAACAUAAGCUCAAGUGUCAACAUGUGACAACAUAAGCUCCAGUGUCAACAUGUAACGAGGUGAAGAAAUAAACUACAUAAGCUCCAGUUUCAGCAUGUGACGAGGUGGAGAAAUAAACAACAUAAGGUCCAGUGUCAACAUGUGACAACAUAAGCUCCAGUGUCAACAUGUAACGAGGUGAAGAAAUAAACAAUAUAAGGUCCAGUGUCAACAUGUGACAACAUAAGCUCCAGUGUCAACAUGUGACAACAAAAGCUCCAGUGUCAACAUGUGACAACAUAAGCUCCAGUGUCAACAUGUAACGAGGUGAAGAAAUAAACUACAUAAGCUCCAGUUUCAGCAUGUGACGAGGUUGAGAAAUAAACAACAUAAGCUCCAGUGUCAACAUGUGACAACAUAAGCUCCAGUGUCAACAUGUAACGAGGUGAAGAAAUAAACAACAUAAGCUCCAGUGUCAACAUGUGACAACAUAAGUUACAGUGUCAGCAUGUGACGAGGUGGAGAAAUAAACAACAUAAGCUCCAGUGUCAACAUGUGACAACAUAAGCUCCAGUGUCAACAUGUAACGAGGUGAAGAAAUAAACUACAUAAGCUCCAGUUUCAGCAUGUGACGAGGUUGAGAAAUAAACAACAUAAGGUCACGUGUCAGCAUGUGACGAGGUGGAGAAAUAAACAACAUAAGCUCCAGUGUCAGCAUGUGACGAGGUGGAGCUAUAAACAACAUAAGGUCCAGUGUCAGCAUGUGACGAGGUGGAGAAAUAAAC